rnacentral:rRNA from 1 species
GGUGUGGAGCCGAAGGGAAACCAAGUCUGAAGAGGGCGCAUAUAGUCAGUAUCCGCAGACCCGAAACCGGGUGAUCUAUCCAUGUCCAGGUUGAAGUUGCCGUAAAAGGCAAUGGAGGACCGAACCCACAUCCGUUGAAAAGGGUGGGGAUGAGGUGUGGAUAGGGGAGAAAUUCCAAUCGAACCCGGAGAUAGCUGGUUCUCCUCGAAAUAGCUUUAGGGCUAGCCUCGUUUUAGUCUUAUGGAGGUAGAGCACUGAAUUUCCGCGGGGGCGUCAAAGCUUACCAAAGAAUAUCAAACUCCGAAUGCCAUGUAGAUGAUGAACGGGAGUCAGACUGCACGAGAUAAGUUGGGCAGUCAAAAGGGAAAGAGCCCAGACCUACAGCUAAGGUCCCAAAGUGUGUGUUAAGUGGAAAAGGAUGUGGGAUUUCGAAGACAACUAGGAUGUUGGCUCAGAAGCAGCCACACAUUAAAAGAGUGCGUAAUAGCUCACUAGUCGAGAGGUCCUGCGCCGAAAAUGUCCGGGGCUAAAACACAACACCGAAGCUUAGGAAUUCUAAUGAAUUGGUAGAGGAGCAUUGAAGACGGAACGAAGCCAUACCGGAAGGAAUGGUGGACUGUCUUGAAGAGAGAAUGCCGGAAUGAGUAGCGAGAUUGAAGUGAGAAUCUUCAAGGCCGAAUAUCUAAGGUUUCCAGGGUAAAGCUGAUCUGCCCUGGGUAAGUCGGGGCCUAAGGCAAGGUCGAAAGACGUAGUCGAUGGAUAACAGGUUGAAAUUCCUGUACUGCAUCAAAUCAGAAAUGUGGGGACACAUGAGGGAAGCAUGAGCCGGAAAAGGAAAGUCCGGUACAAGCGCAGCAGAGGACAGAUAGGCAAAUCCGUCUGUCAACUCGAGGGCGCGAUGUGGAGCGAACCAAAGUAGCGAAGCAUGUGGAGCUUGUGUCGAGAAAAGCCGCUAUAGUGUUUGAUGUACCCGUACCGUAAACCGACACAGGUGGAUGAGGAGAGAAUCCUAAGGCCGGCGGGAGAAGCAUUGUUAAGGAACUCGGCAAAAUGACCCCGUAACUUCGGGAGAAGGGGUGCUCCAGAGAUGGAGCCGCAGAGAACUGGCCCAAGCAACUGUUUAGCAAAAACACAGGUCUAUGCAAAACCGAAAGGUGAGGUAUAUGGGCUGACGCCUGCCCGGUGCUGGAAGGUUAAGAGGAGAUGUUAGCCGCAAGGUGAAGCAUUGAAUUUAAGCCCCAGUAAACGGCGGCCGUAACUAUAACGGUCCUAAGGUAGCGAAAUUCCUUGUCGGGUAAGUUCCGACCCGCACGAAAGGCGUAAUGAUUUGGGCACUGUCUCGACAAUGCACCCGGUGAAAUUGAAAUACCAGUGAAGAUGCUGGUUACCUGCGCCAGGACGGAAAGACCCCAUGGAGCUUUACUCUAGCUUGAUACUGGGGUUCGGUAUUGCAUGUACAGGAUAGGUGGGAGACUGAGAAGAUGUGUCGCCAGAUGCAUCAGAGUCGAUGUUGGGAUACCACCCCUGCAGUACUGGGCUUCUAACCUGCAGCCGUGACCCGGCUGGGGGACAAUGUCUGGUGGGGAGUUUGACUGGGGCGGUCGCCUCCGAAAGGGUAUCGGAGGCGCUCAAAGGUUCCCUCAGAAUGGUUGGAAACCAUUCGAAGAGUGCAAAGGCAGAAGGGAGCUUGACUGCGACACCGACGGGUGGAGCAGGUACGAAAGUAGGACUUAGUGAUCCGGUGGUAUGAAAGUGGGAUUGCCAUCGCUCAACGGAUAAAAGCUACCCUGGGGAUAACAGGCUUAUCACUCCCAAGAGUUCACAUCGACGGAGUGGUUUGGCACCUCGAUGUCGGCUCAUCGCAUCCUGGGGCUGUAGUAGGUCCCAAGGGUUGGGCUGUUCGCCCAUUAAAGCGGUACGCGAGCUGGGUUCAGAACGUCGUGAGACAGUUCGGUCCCUAUCUGUCGUGGGCGCAGGAUAUUUGAUGGGAGCUGUUCCUAGUACGAGAGGACCGGAGCGGACGUACCUCUGGCGCACCAGUUGUUCUGCCAAGAGCAUAGCUGGGCAACUAUGUACGGAUCGGAUAAACGCUGAAAGCAUCUAAGCGUGAAGCCGACCCAAAGAUAAGAUAUCCCAUUGU